ACUAAGCUCCGCUAGGGUCGUGCUCUUGGCACCGGUGCACAAGAGCGUCAUGCUGGAGGCCGCCUCCUCACAGUUCUCCAGACAAUUAUAGUGACUUGGGAUCACUAUACGACAAGAAGAUUGGCCGGCCAUCAUCUCCACCCGGUCCAAGGACCUGCCUCCUCUAUUUGCGCCCUCCAUGGCUGCCCCCAAACUGUAACAAAGAUUAGGUAAAGCUGUUACCAGCCAGGCCAUGGAUCCUAAGAAAUUUAGUUCAAGAACGACUUUCCUCUGCAAACGGUAUCGCCGCCUGCACCCACGACCUAAUGUCGUCAACACUACGAGGAGGACGAGCAGCCACUGCAUGAAAACAAAGGAAAACUUUCGGCUGUAAGAACCAGCAAAGUAAGUUGAAAAUAGUGAACUUCACGCACAACAAUACUUACGUGCGUCAUUCCACACUUCUGGAAACUCAUUAGGGUUGGGCACAAGGUGUUCGGUACGGACGUAGAAGAACCUUGUCCAAAAUUUGUGAUUUGCCUUGUCGUCCACUUGCGCCACGAAGCUUUUCACGUCAUUCCACACUUCUGGAAACCCAUUAGGGUUGGGCACAAGGUGUUCGUUACGGACGUAGAAGAACCUCGUCCAAAAUUUACGAUUGGCCUUGUCAUCCACCUGCGCCACGAAGCUUUUCUUGCCCCCUACUCCUCAACCGGAGCAUCGAGCCUCUCAUGAAAACCACAUUGAACAUUUGCAAAAGGUGAUGAACGGUCACCUCCUUUCUGGCCUUCGUUGCAUAAACAGAUACUACCCUGCACACCUUCAAGGCGUACGGGGUAAGCUGAGCCGGACACGCUCCGUACCAGCGACACAAGUCCUCUGCUAAAGGGUAAAUUGGAAGGGUGUAUCCAAUUCGAAAGGCAUAUUCGUAAAAAGCACAAUACCUGGUCCUAGGCACGUUGGCGUAAUCUUGCCCCGCGGGAACCAUGUCAACAUGAUCAGGAAUAUCAUAUGUCUCCCUGAGAGAGGCCAAGUGGGGCAGCGUCAUCUCACUAUGCUCCCAAGGGCAAACUUUAUGCUUAUUCAGGAAGUCUCUCAUUUUGCUCAUAUCGCGUGGGAGCAGGUUGGCUGUUGAUAGAGGAACAAAAACCUCCCCGGCCUCCUCAUCGUCUGAGGAUGACGAGGACCUGGUGUAAUCAACGUCCCUGGUUCAGGCAUCAUCACGCCUACGUUUAGCUAUAGUGAAUGAUGUAAGAAAAAGGUAUUAUGGGUCGCAAGUUCGAUUCCUGAGAAUGAGAAAUUCAGAGAAGAAAAGAAUAGCAAACACCAGAAAAAGAUAGGGAAAAGAGUGAGGAAAUACUCUCCGAAAGGGAUCGAAAGAUGAACCUAGCCCAACUCUCCA
rnacentral:lncRNA from 1 species